AAAAUGGCAUCCUUCUGGGGAUCAGCCUUGUCAAGGUGGAUGCCAAUGAACUAUAGCUUGUAAACAGCAAGGUGUUAAUCACUGAAAGGAGGUAGAACGUUUUUCCCCAUCAGAGGAGGCAGCGACCACGUCUCCUCUAUGGAGGCAUUCAAGAGCCGUCCGGCUGAAGCAGCAUCAUUGUCUGGGCCUGGAAGGCACAAUCCACACAGGUCUGCAUGGUCCACCAGAGCUCCACACCCACGGGGCCAGCCGGGGCUCUCUUCUGAAGCAGGUGAGCAUGGAGUCCCCUGUUUGCUUGCAAAGAAACAGACUGCAGACAUUGCUGCAUUCACGGUCCCGGCAAUGUCAUCCCAGAUCUAGUGGAAGGCCAAGGUCUCUUUCUAGCAACUACGUGAA
rnacentral:lncRNA from 1 species